UACGUAGGGACCGAGCGUUGUCCGGAAUCAUUGGGCGUAAAGAGCGUGUAGGCGGCCACUUAAGUCCUGCGUGAAAUCUUGCGGCUCCAACCGCAAGCGGUCGUGGGAAACUGGGUGGCUAGAGUGCGGGAGAGGAGAGUGGAAUUCCUGGUGUAGCGGUGGAAUGCGCAGAUAUCAGGAAGAACACCCGUAGCGAAGGCGGCUCUCUGGAACGCAACUGACGCUGAGACGCGAAAGCGUGGGGAGCAAACAGG
rnacentral:rRNA from 1 species